UAACCUUUAUGGAGCCAGCCGCCGAAGGUGGGACAGAUGAUUGGGGUGAAGUCGUAACAAGGUAGCCGUAUCGGAAGGUGCGGCUGGAUCACCUCCUUUCUAAGGA
rnacentral:rRNA from 1 species